rnacentral:lncRNA from 1 species
AUGAGGAAGGGUGGCACUCACUCUGCAUACAGAGCCCAUCCGUACAGUUCUUGGACUGCAGCACUGUUCCCUCGCAGUCCUUGCCGCCGUUUUUGGGGGCCGGAGCGCUGCACUCGCGCCGUCUCCAGUGAGUGCACUCUGUCCCACACGUCGACCACUUGCUCCACUCCGUCCACAGACCGUCCACUGCAGCAAACACAGCACAGUGAUUUCGGCCUUCGGCCAGCACUCUGGCGUCAGCGCUGUGGUACCUGGACAGAGCGGGUUACAGGCCAGUUUCUGGAUGGCUUGACCCUCACAGAUGGCUCCUCCGUUCAGAGGCGCGGGAUUGGUGCAGCUGCGCGUCCUCUUCUGAUAGCCCCGCCCACAGCGACUGCUGCACACCGACCACUCCGUCCACGUCGACCAGCCGCCGUUCACUACAGCGAGAAACACAGCCACUCAGUCACUCGCUCACUCAUUACAUCUGUGUCUGUGACGGAGAGCCGAGGGAAAACACACACUAUCUCUCUCAAUCAAUCAGUGAGAACUGACUGACUGUAGCUGUGAUAGCCAACGGUUCUCCGUUUAUCACAACAAGCAGUGAUGAGCUCGAGCAGAACCUGAAACAACACUGAGAGCAAUAAUUCACCCCAAAAUAAACGUCCCGUCAGGCUUGACAGGUUUCUUCAGUGGAACACGACAGGAGAUCAGCAGACAGUGACUGAAGCCGUAUGAACAAAUCAAACACAGGCGACAUUUGAAAGACGGAAUACGCUUGAGUGCAAAUCUGAUUUUUCUAAAUCAUUUUAAAAGAAGCAGUUACUUUUUAAUAUAAUUUAACCCUUUGCCUUCCGAAGAAAGUCAUACAAGUUUGGAACAAAAGAACAACAUGAUGUGCAAACUUGUUUCCACCACAGAAAAAUAAAAUUAAAUUAAAUAAAGUAAUUGCAAAUGUAUUCUCACAAUUCAGACUUUUCUAGAUGAUCUUGAGCCUAUAUCUCACGAUUCAGAUUUUUUUCCACAAUCAUGUGAUUAUAUCUAACAAUUCAUUUUUUCUUUACAAUCGUGUUUUUUUGGAUGAAGUAUUACUUUAAGAGGCAUUUGCUCCCCGUUCUUCUCUUGUGGUGAUGAUGGAGUCUCGCUCCACGAUCCGGACUGAGCUUCCUCUGACACACGUGUGUGUGAUGGAGCUGCUCUGGAGGAUGGAUUGUGGUUCAUUUCUCCUGCGGAUGAGCUGAGAUCAAAGCUCUCUUCGUCUCAGACGGCAUUCAGGCCUGAAUGAGCAGGCGAGGGAUUGUGGCCUUUUGUCUCCAGAAAUCCAUCACAGAUUUGUGCCCUUUUUUUUCCUUUUUUUUUUUACAGUUUCCCUUGGAUUCAGCCGAACCACACAUGGAGAGUAUUUCUUGUCUUUCAUCUCAGGACAGUAAGUCAGACGUGUGUGGUGAUAAUGGGCAGAAAGAGCUCAGAGUAAAGCAGUUUGUUAAUCCGGUGAGUGAGAGUGGUUUAGUAUGUCAGCAGUGAGCAGCGGGAAGUGAAACCCGAGCCCGAUGACAUCAGUGCCUCCAUGCCUUCAUCAUCCGAGAGAAGCACAGGUCACCAAAGCACUGAAAAACUGCCACAUACAUUCACUUCCCUUCACCUACACAUCCUUCUUCCACACGAUACAAACAGUCCAUCCAUCUGUCCAUCCAUCCGUCCAACCAUGUAUCCAUCAAUCCAUCCAUCUGUCCAUCCAUUAACUCAUCCAUCCAUUCAUCAAUCCAUCAAUCCAUCCAUCUGUCCAUCCAUUAAUCAUCAAUCCAUCUAUCCAACCAUUAUCCUUUAAUCCAUCCAUCUGUCAAUCCAUCUAUCCGUCCAUCCAUCCAUUUAUCCAUCAAUCUAUCCAACCUAUUUACUCCUUAAUCCAUCCAUCUCCUUUAAUACCAUCCAUCCGUCAAUCCAUCUAUCGGUCCACUCCAUCCUUUUAUCCAUCAAUCCAUCCAUCUGUCCAAUCCAUCUAUCCAUCCAUUCAUCCAUCCAUCUAACCAUUUAUCCAUCAAUCCAUCCAUUAAUUCAUCCAUCCAUCCAUCCAUCCAUCCAUUUAUGCAAAUAUUUAUCCAUCCAACCAUUUAUCCACAAAUCCAUCUAUCAAUUAAUCUAUCUACCAUCUAUGUAUCCAUUCAUCCAACCAUUUAAUAAUCUUAACAUUCAUCUUGUUCUAUGAGAGGAAGUCUGUGUUUUCCCUCAAUGAGCUGGGUCAGAUGAAUGGGACAGCAGGUGGCGAGGGCCUGUUAGCGAUGAGGAGGUUAUGCCUGCUCCACACGAGCUUGGCGAAGAGUUGGCAUAUACGGGGAGUGGGUCUGUCCAUCCAUCCAUUUAUCCAUCCAUCCAUCCAUCCAUCCAUCCAUCCAUCCAUCCAUCCAUCCAUCCAUCCAUCCAUCGUUCUAUACCUAAUGUUAAAUAAGGCAUACAAACUUUUAAGCUUCAAAGAUUUUUUUCACAUUUUUCAAAAAUGUCAAG